rnacentral:tRNA from 1 species
GAGGGUAUAGCUCAGUGGUAGAGGGUGUGCUUAGCAUGCACAAGUUGAGGUCCUGGAUUCAAUUCCCAGUAUCUCCA